UACGAAGGGGGCGAGCGUUGUUCGGAUUUACUGGGCGUAAAGGGCUCGCAGGCGGCAGACCAAGUCAGGCGUGAAAGCCCCGGGCUUAACCUGGGAGGUGCGUCUGGGACUGGUAUGCUAGAGUCCGGGAGAGGAGAGUGGAAUUCCCAGUGUAGAGGUGAAAUUCGUAGAUAUUGGGAAGAACACCGGUGGCGAAGGCGGCUCUCUGGACCGAGACUGACGCUGAGGCGCGAAAGCGUGGGGAGCAAACAGG
rnacentral:rRNA from 1 species